UACGUAGGGGGCAAGCGUUGUCCGGAAUCACUGGGCGUAAAGGGCGCGUAGGCGGCCUGAUAAGUAGGGGGUGAAAUCCUGCGGCUUAACCGCAGGGCUGCCUUCUAAACUGUCAGGCUAGAGCACGGUAGAGGCAGAUGGAAUUCCCGGUGUAGCGGUGGAAUGCGUAGAGAUCGGGAAGAACAUCAGUGGCGAAGGCGGUCUGCUGGGCCGUUGCUGACGCUGAGGCGCGACAGCGUGGGGAGCAAACAGG
rnacentral:rRNA from 1 species